rnacentral:rRNA from 1 species
ACGCUCGACACCUACUGGAGGCAGCAGUGGGGAAUAUUGCACAAUGGGGGAAACCCUGAUGCAGCGACGCCGCGUGGAGGAAGAAGGUCUUCGGAUUGUAAACUCCUGUUGUUGGGGAAAAAGAGGAUGGUACCCAACAAGGAAGUGACGGCUAACUACGUGCCAGCAGCCCGUAGUACUGUGNGGCGUGGCGAGGACG